GACGAACGCUGGCGGCGUGCCUAAUACAUGCAAGUCGAGCGAAGUUUUUCUGGUGCUUGCACUAGAAAAACUUAGCGGCGAACGGGUGAGUAACACGUAAAGAACCUGCCUCAUAGACUGGGACAACUAUUGGAAACGAUAGCUAAUACCGGAUAACAGUAUUUCUCGCAUGAGAGAUAUUUAAAAGUUGGUUAUGCUAACACUAUGAGAUGGCUUUGCGGUGCAUUAGCUAGUUGGUGGGGUAAAGGCCCACCAAGGCGACGAUGCAUAGCCGACCUGAGAGGGUGAUCGGCCACACUGGGACUGAGACACGGCCCAGACUCCUACGGGAGGCAGCAAUAGGGAAUCUUCCGCAAUGGGCGGAAGCCUGACGGAGCAACGCCGCGUGAGUGAAGAAGGAUUUCGGUUCGUAAAGCUCUGUUGUUAGGGAAGAAUGGAUAUGUAGUAACUAUACAUGUAAGAGACGGUACCUAACCAGAAAGCCACGGCUAACUACGUG
rnacentral:rRNA from 1 species